GGCUGUCCCUUCUAUCCAGCCUGCUGUCCUACUGUGUAGACUUUGAGCCUCCAGCUUUCCCAACCUCAUGAGUCAAUCCCUUGAAAUCUCUCAAAAAAAAAAAAAAAAAUGAAACACUCUUGACUACAGUCCAUAUGGCCAGUAUUGGUUGCUAGAACUGCCUUAGUCCAGCCAGUUGUGGGUCUUCACCUGGUAGGAUGGCCUGGACCUUUACUCCUAAUGGGUUUGGGCCAUUUGUUCUUCUGUCUCAGCUGCACUGUCUUUAGCUCAUUGCCGAAGCUGGUCAUAAGACAUGGUGGUGAUCCUGACAAGUGUGCUGAGUGGUCCAGAAUCCAGACACUUCCUCGCCUCCAACUUCCCUUUAGUAGUGAGCAUCUGUCACCCGGACAGCACAGCAAUUCCCUUCUUUGCCAGUUUCUUCAGUGCCGUGAGGGACCUAAAAGGGCUGAACACUCUUAGCUGCUGGUUGAAUGGAACCAUUGUCUCCUAGCAGAAGCAUUCAAGCAUCUUACCUUGGGCACCAGACCCCUGGGUCAGCAGAGCAGAGCAUUCAGGCAUGGGAGGCAAAGAGUAUUGCUAGUCAACUGGGGUUACUCGAUAAUAACAACACUCUGAUUUCCCACUUCUUGCUUUCUGGAACCCUAGCUACUAGACCAAACAAGGCUGCUAGUACCCCUGUUGGUUCUGUUUCUAUCAGCUCUAAUGCAAGAGCAGGUCUUUCUCGGCAGCUCUGCUGUCAUGUGCUCCCCUGUCACUGUCUUUCUAAAUCAUGGCCAAGGGUUCAGAAGCUAUGAAUAAGUCAGUGAGUGAGUAUGUAGGAUGGCCUUAGAAGCAUUUAUGAGUUUUGUGGACACAUGGGCAGAUGGAGUUUUAGGCUAAGGAAAUUAGUGUGGAAAGUUCUAACAGGUCAGCUUGCUGGUUGUGAGGAGGGGGCAAAAGAGCAAGUUGGGGUAUAGUGUGAGGGCUCCUUUCAGUUUGCUUAUUGUGAUGGAUUGUAUAUGCUUGGUCCAGGGAGUGGCACUAUUUGGAGGUGUAGCCUUGUUGGAGUACGUGUGUCACUGUGGGUGUGGGCUUUAAGACCUUCAUUUCAGCUCCCUGGAAACCAGUAUUUUACUAGCAGCCUUCAGAUGAAGAUGUAGAACUCUCAGCUCUUCAUGGACCAUGCCUGCCUGGAUGCUGCCAUGUUCCUGCCUUGAUGAUAAUGGAUUUAACCUCUGAACCUGGACAGUCUCCCUUCCCGUGGUCUGUAACGAGGGAUGCUGUCAGUGUGGAAGGUCUCUCGGAAGCUACUGCCAUUUCCCUGCUAGAAAACACAGCAGCCAGCCUUCAUUUAGAGCCUUCCUCCUGCAGCAAGGACACUCAUUUGAAUAGGAAAGGUUUUCUUCUGUGUGGUAUAUGGAAUACACCCAAGAGGAAGGCACCCAGGGAUUCCCCACAGAGAAUGGACCACAGGAUCAUGGAGAGAGGCAGAGAUGAAGUAAAUGUUUCCAAGUGUUUUCACACUUUCCUCGCUAACAGGUAUACAAGACAGUUGAAGCAUUUCAAAGCCGGGCUGGGUGUGCAGCUCAGUUGGUAGAGUACUGGCUCCCAGGCACGAAGACCUGAGUUUGACCCAAGCAUCACAUAAACCAAGCGGAUGGAACAUGUCUGUAAUACCACUGCUUAGGAAGGAGGAGCAGGAGGGUGAGAACAUCACGGUCAUCUUUGAGCUACAUAGUGAAUUUGAGGCCUGCCUGGGAUUCAUAAAAAGCCUUUUCUCAAAAA